UUUUUAAAAAGGCAGGGAGGGAGGGAGGAAGGGAGGGAAGAGGGAAAAGAGAUAUGUGUUUGUAUUCUUUCUAUUUUAUAUGUGGUGCUUCUUUCUAAAAUAGGAAAAAGAAAAAGAAAAGGAAAAAAAAAG
rnacentral:ribozyme from 14 species